rnacentral:rRNA from 1 species
GACGGACGCUGGCGGUGUGCUUAACACAUGCAAGUCGAACGGUAAGGCCCUUUCGGGGGUACACGAGUGGCGAACGGGGGCGUAACACGUGAGUAACCUGCCCUCAUCUCUGGGAUAACAGUCGGAAACGGUUGCUAAUACUGGAUAUGAGCUUGCAAUGCAUCUUGAGGGUUGGAAAGAUUUUUUUGGGUUGGGUAUGGAUUCGCGGCCGAUCAGCGUUUUAGUGAGGAAGUGGCUCACUAAGGCCUUGGCGGGGAGCCGGCCUGAGGGCGCGCCCGGACACAUUGGGACUGAGAUACGGCCCAAACUCCUACGGGAGGCAGCAGUGGGGAAUAUUGCACAGUGGACGGAAGUCUGAUGCAGCAACGCCGCGUGCGGGAUGACGACCUUCGGGUUGUAAACCGCUUUCAAUUGUGACGAAGCUUUUUUGUGACGGUAGCAGUAGAAGAAGCACCGGCUAACUACGUG